UACCACCCUUUGUUUAUUACACUUUGUUGCUUUGGCAGGCCUGCCCUCGGGCUGCUGGCUCCGGCCGGCGAGCGCUUGCCAGAGGACCUAAACUCUGUUUGUCUAUACUGUCUGAGUACUAUAUAAUAGUUAAAACUUUCAACAACGGAUCUCUUGGUUCUGGCAUCGAUGAAGAACGCAGCGAAAUGCGAUAAGUAAUGUGAAUUGCAGAAUUCAGUGAAUCAUCGAAUCUUUGAACGCACAUUGCGCCCCCUGGUAUUCCGGGGGGCAUGCCUGUCCGAGCGUCAUUACAACCCUCAAGCUCAGCUUGGUGUUGGGCCCCGCCGCCCCGGCGGGCCCUAAAGUCAGUGGCGGUGCCGUCCGGCUCCGAGCGUAGUAAUUCUUCUCGCUCUGGAGGUCCGGUCGUGUGCUUGCCAUCAACCCCCAAUUUUUUUCAGGUUGACCUCGGAUCAGGUAGGGAUACCCGCUGAACUUAAGCAUAUCAAUAAGC
rnacentral:rRNA from 1 species